rnacentral:rRNA from 1 species
GAUGAACGCUGGCGGCGUGCCUAAUACAUGCAAGUCGAGCGAACAGAUGAGGAGCUUGCUCCUCUGACGUUAGCGGCGGACGGGUGAGUAACACGUGGAUAACCUACCUAUAAGGCUGGGAUAACUUCGGGAAACCGGAGCUAAUACCGGAUAAUAUAUUGAACCGCAUGGUUCAAUAGUGAAAGACGGUUUUGCUGUCACUUAUAGAUGGAUCCGCGCCGCAUUAGCUAGUUGGUAAGGUAACGGCUUACCAAGGCGACGAUGCGUAGCCGACCUGAGAGGGUGAUCGGCCACACUGGAACUGAGACACGGUCCAGACUCCUACGGGAGGCAGCAGUAGGGAAUCUUCCGCAAUGGGCGAAAGCUUGACGGAGCAACGCCGCGUGAGUGAUGAAGGUCUUCGGAUCGUAAAACUCUGUUAUUAGGGAAGAGCAAAUGUGUAAGUAACUAUGCACGUCUUGACGGUACCUAAUCAGAAAGCCACGGCUAACUACGUG